ensembl:lncRNA
AGGGCCACACCCACAGCACAUCAAAGUUCCCAGGCUAGGGGUCGAAUCAGAGCCACAGCAACUCAGGAUCCAAGCCAUGUCUGCAACCUACAUCACAGCUCACAGCAAUGCCAGAUCCUUAACCCAAAGCCAGAUAUGGAACCUGCAUCCUCACGGAUACCAGUGGCGUUUGUUACUGCUGAGCCACAACGGGAACUCCUGUGGUGAAACCAGAGCCGAAACUCAGAGUCCAGGCUCCUCACUGCUGCUCUGCGCUCUUCCACGGAGCCCUGAGGCUUUAACACCUUCUUCGCCUUUGGCACAAAGAAUCCCCACAUCCCCAAGAAGCAGGCUCGCUUCAGCUGGGCUGCUUGCUGGCACUUCUCCAGGGCAGCUAGCUUCCAGCUGCCCUACUCUGGGAAAGAGGAAAGCGGGCUUUGGGUAUAGAGCAUCAAGGCUUUGCUUUGGAUGACAGCUCAGCUAGGCCGCCUUUGGGACAAAGAAUGCGAAGCACGUUCUUGACUGGGAAGUCAGAGAACCCAGCCAUGGGGUGAAGGCUGGGUUCCUCGUGGCCUGGAGGCCCUGGGUGCGGGCCUUGAAAAGGUCAACAAAAGUGAGGCAGGGGCCAGGCCUCUGGUCCCCCCACACCUCUUCCCAGGCGCCAAAGUCAGCUCCCCAUGGCCCUUCCCUUCAAACACUCCUAGGGAUGGAAGAAAGCGGAGGCUUCGGGGAGCAAACUCCGGGCCUACAAAUCCCUCCCACGUCUUUCAAGUCUCAAAUCAAAUGACACCUUCUCUCGGGGAGCCCUCCCUCCACUGCUCACAUCUCAGGAUCCGGCUUGGGUUUACUUCAGCUCCACCGUCGCCUCUGAUACACACUCUUCACGUCUAGUCUGUCUCCCCCACCAGCCCCGCACGUCAGCAGGGCAGGGCAGGGCAGGGUCCAUCGUGUCCACUGCAUGCUUGAGGCUCACAGCAGCGCCUGGCCCCGGGGAGAAGCGCUCUAUCGACACAGACACGAGUCCUCAGUCUAUGUGUCUUCACGUGCAUAUACAGGGCUUCCACAUGAAGCCCUAUUCAUGAAUCGUCAUUCUAUUCAAAUUAAUGAAACAAAUAACUAUUAUAUUCUUGAGGGUACAGCAAGGUGAUAGGCUCUGGUUUGCUACAGAGUUGCUGGCGCAAGAGAGAUGUGUGGACCAGCAGACCGGCCAUAUCCCACAGCGACCUAAAGCACAAAGGUAACAAUAACAAUUACAAUAACAGUAUCCCAGCUCUCGUUUAAUGCACACUUAUUGUGUGUCAAAGUGUGCUAGGUGCUUUACUGGUUCACAGUUCCUCAACAGGCCUGUGAUGCCGUAUCUUUUUCAUUUUGCAGAGAUGGACACUGAAGCUUGGAGAGGCUAUGCCACUUGCCCAAGGUCGUACUUUACUAAGGACGGAAUACAGUGCAGGGCCCUUAACCACUGCCCUGCCCCAUCCUGCACAGGGCAUAUGGCAGUGCUCCCUGAGACUGGAACAACGGGGCAGAAAGUAAUUCACUGUUCUCAGGAAAUUCAGCCAGGCUGUGUCUUUAUGUCAACUUCUCCCACAAAGAACACAUAAUUCCUCCAUUUUGCUAUAAAUCUAAAACUGCUAUAAAAAGUAAAGUCUAUUUUAAAAAUCAGUCCAACAAAAAUAAGCUGUUAACAAAAAGGUUUAUGUUACUCUGAGAUAACAAAUAUUCAUGAUUUUAAAAUAUUGAGCAUUAUAUCCACUACAACCUCAAUUUUUAAAAACCGUAAACUUUAGUUUUUAUACAUUUGCAAUGGGCCUAACACAAGACCCACCUUAUGGGGCUGCUGAGAUUACAUGACCCAAGCACCCGCAAUGUCUGGCAGAUGGUGAUCACUCAAUAAGUGUUACCUAUUAUUUUAUCUCCAGCACCUCGGACAGCGCCAGACACAUAGUAGGAACUCCUUGGCCCCAGGAGGCUCAGCCAAUGGCAAGGAGAGGCCCAGCCCAAGGGAGGAGCUGACCUGGAAGGUUUCUGGGAGCCAAUGGGAUUGUCCGCCAGGCAUCCGACUAGCAGGUAAACAGCCCUGCCCUAAGAAACCGGUUUUGCAGCCUUUCUCUGGCUGCUCUGGGCCCAGUUCCCAGAGCCUGCCCCUCGACUUUGAUCCAGGAAGGUAUAAUUAUUUCCCUGAUUAGACAGAUACAAGAAGAGUCUUUAAAACUGUGUCCCUCCUCACGAGCUUCUUUCCAGCACUUUAGGUUGGGGGCCAGCUGUUUUGUCACAUUCCGUGGGUCACUUUCUGCAAACUGACUACAACAUGGACGUGUGUAAAAUGCUGGGAUGCUUCCUGAUGGCUAGAUUGAUAAGUGAGUUUAUGUGCGUACAAAUAUUUACUGAGUAUGUCUGUGAUUAUGUUAUUUGUCUUACACUGGGAAAGACAAUUAGGAAACUAGUUCCCAGCCUUCUUUGCAGUUAAGAGUGGUCAAACGACUUUACAUGACCAAUGACAUAAAGGGAAGUCUGGUGGAAUUUUAAGUCCUGAGGAAACAGACAAUCCUUCUCUCUAGGUAUUUUCAGGAUGGCGUUUUUUUGGAAAAGGUAAGACGUACUGCAAAUGAAGGGCACAGCUCUCCUGAAAUGAUGGUGGUACCAUCACUAACAUCAAGUUCUCCUGAGGACACAGUGUACAGACCUCCCCAUGAAGAGCAGAAGGUGUACCGUCAUGUAAUAAUAAUUGCUGCCAUGGCUGGCAUCCCCUGAUGUCACUAUGUACUGGGCACUAUUUUAAGUGCAAUACAAAUGUUAACUUGCUUUAUUCUUAGCACAGGACCAAAAGGCAGGUAUUAUCAUCUCCAUUUACAGAGCACACAAAGUCAAGGACAAAGCAGUUAAGCAACUUGCUCAACGUAGAUAAUAAAUGGCAGAGGACCAGGUCUCCUAAUCAAAAAUCUUCAUCGUGAGCUACACUAACAAAGUAUGAGCCCAAUGCAGCCCUGUAAAAAUAACUGAAGCCAUCUCUACCGCAUAUUGAGCACUUAGAACGUGGCAACCUUAGAAGCAAGCAGCAUGUGUUACCCUCCAAAGGCCCGCUGGGCUCAGCAUCGUGACCAUGUCUGCUGAAAAGAUGAGAGGUGAUUGGACUUGACUUCUGUCACAUGAUUGGUAAGGACCAGGGAGGUCAGAGAUACAGACCUGUAAACUCUUAGACACGAGUUCACGCCUCUUGGGAAUAGCUCACAGGAGUCAUUUUCUUUCAUUAUUAACCACACUCAACAACCUGUUCUCAAGGACAUUCUUGGCCUCUCCUUGGCCACAUGUGAUAAAGGCCACGUGUACUUGGCCACAGAGAAAAGCAGGGCAUGGAAGGAAACAGAGCAGAACCUUAUACCCAGGUGAUCCUAGAAUCAAGGCCACGGUCCCUCCCUUGACCAUCAGGCCAUGGCAGCCAGAGCAGGUCCCUCCUCCCUCUCUGCAGCCUCACAGGCCUACUCUCUACUCUGAAGGAAGCCACAUUCCCCAGGACCUUGACACAUACUGUUCCCUCAGCCAGAAUGUUCUUCCUCAUGCUCCCUUUGCCCCAGUACACAUCAUUCUCCUUCCCUUAUUAACUCCUACCCAUCCUUCAAAGUUUAGCCACUGGGGUGGAGGAAGACAGAUCUCCAGGAUGUGCUGGUUGGAGAAAAAAAAAAAAGUGCAGGAUGGGGUGUGGAGUAGGCUACCUUUUGUAUAAGAAAGGAGGGGAAGAUAAAAAUAGAUACUCUUGUUUGCAUAAAGAAACCUUAGAAGGAUACCCAAGAGACUAAUACAAAUGAUUACUUAAGGGGUAGAGGGACUAGGCGAGCAAGAGAGAGCUCUCAGAGUUUGUGUCUACCCAUGCGCACAUACACACAGGGGCCUGCACACAGAAUCGACUUGUGAAGCCUAAAGAUGUAUGACCUACUUCUGAAAAAGUGUCACAAAUAAAAACAAAGCAGGAGUGAUGAGCAGAGGAUCAGAGGUGGCCCAUGACCACAGACCUGAACACAUCAAUCUGUGGGACUGCCCGAUGAUGUCCGACUCCCCCACUGGCUUAUGGGUUCCUGAGGGCAGGCCUGGACCUGCUUGGGCUGCCAGCCAGGGUUCUGCCACGCAGCUGGUACCCGAGAAAUGCUCAGUGAGCCGAAGUGGACACACUGACCUACCCACCUCCAGCCACAAAACUGGGCUGUGCCCACUGCUUGUAGGGGGGCUCUACCUGUUUCUGUGAGCUAAAUUCAUGGGCCAGGGAACACAGUUCCUGUGUGAACAAAGGGCUUUAACACAUACUGCUGAACAAAAGAGCGUGGUGCAGGGAUCAGCAACCUUUUCCUAUAAAUGGCCGGAGAGCAAAUAUUUUAAGUUUUGGGGGACCACAUGGUCUCUGCUGCAACAACUCAUCUCUGCUCUGCAGUGUGAAAGCAGCCACGACGAUAGGAGCAUGACUUAUUCGUGGACACUGAAACCCAAAGUUCAUCUAGUUUUACAUGUCACGAAAUGGUUUCUUGACUAUUAUUAUUUUUAGCCAUUAAAAAAAUAAUUUUAAAAAACCAUUCUUAGCUCCUGGGCUCUACAGAAACAGGCAGCAGACCGAAUGGCCCAUGGGCUGUGGUCUGCCGCCCCUGCUGAGAAGAAUGGCUACCGUGUUGAUGUUUCUGGUACAGACACAGAGAAUUUCUGGAAGGAAACAGGUCACAGUGGCUGCUUCUAUGGAGCGUUUCAGGGAUGGAAAGGAAGUUCAUCUUUUUAAAUAAUGGACCAUGUGCAAGUUAACCAGAUACUGUUUUAAAGUUAGUACUUAAAGUGAGGGGAUGGGUAAAUCAGGAGGUGAGGAUUAACUACUUAGAUCAAAGAGACAUCCAAACAAGGGCCUCCGCUACGGCACAGGGAGCACUGCUCACUGUUUUAUAAUGACCUGUAAGAGAAAAGAAUCUGAAAAAAAAUAACCUAUAAGGGAAAAGAAUCCGCGUGUGUAUAUGUACAUAAAACUGAACCACUGUGUUGUACACUUGAAACUAACACAUUGUAAAUCAACUAUACUAAAAACAUUUUUUAAGUAAUAAAGUUAGUACUUAAGAGAGAAAGGAGGCUGUGUACGGGGUUAAGAGCCCAAGCACUGGAGUAAGAGAUCAUGGCCGGAAUCCCAACUCUCCUCCUCAUUUGCUGUGAAGCCCGCAGCCUCUCUGAGCCUCAGCAUCGUGGGGAUAACAUUAGCGCUGGCUUCACGGGCUGCUGGGAGGAUUCCAUGGGUUAAGCCUUUCGCACAGUGUCAGGCACCUGGAAAGUGCCGGCUAUUAUUAUCCUCAUUAAGAGUCAUUCAUGGGGAAAAGCCCUUCUCUGAAGGGAAGCCUGGAAUAUAACUGCGGCUAUAAAAUUCCCCGCGAGAGCCCGCCCAGUCCCACGGCGAGUCAUCCAACUGUCCACAUAAUGGAUGCCUUGUAAUGUGAGGAAGCUCAUUUGUAUUAGCAACCGCAUUCCAGAGAGAUGCAUCCUGCAGCCACGUCUGCACAUCCUGUUCAGCAGAGAAAGCAGCCAGCUUCCGGAGCCAGGGUCUGUCCCCAACUGUCACACUGGGUGGACUAUAGGGCCAUACACCCAUGAGACCACUCACUGCCCAUUUAUUAAACACCUAGCAUGUGCAAAAACAUGCAGGGACACCCCUCCGCACCUUGCCCUGGGGGCUGCAGGUGGUGCAAAUAUGAAUUUCUUUUAAAACAACUGAAGGGACCAGAGGAUAGAGGCAUUGGCUGUGCUCCCGCAGACCUCAUGCAUUUCCCUGUAUGUUUAUUCAUUCAACAAAUAUAUACUGACCUCCUAAGAGCCAGGCAUUAUUCUAAUAAGCAGGUGGUCUUAACCACGGCUCUCAUUUUCCAGCUGUUUCCCUCUGAACUCUGAGACCUGUUGGGAAGGGAUUUGGGGAA